GACGUGGAGCAAACCUCAGAAAGCCAAUCUCAGUUCGGAUUGUAGGCUGCAACUCGCCUACAUGAAGUUGGAAUCGCUAGUAAUCGCGAAUCAGAAUGUCGCGGUGAAUACGUUCCCGGGUCUUGUACACACCGCCCGUCACACCACGAGAGUUUACAACACCCGAAGUCAGUGGCCUAACCGCAAGGAGGGAGCUGCCUAAGGUGGGGUAGAUGAUUGGGGUGAAGUCGUAACAAGGUAAC
rnacentral:rRNA from 1 species